ensembl:snoRNA
CUCCACUGAUGACCACCUAUUUGGGCCGUUGUGUCUGGGCCACUGAGUUUUGUUGAUGGAACUGAGGUUCUGAGGAG